UAAACCUCACCCUUGUGAUGUCACAAUCAUCAGAGUGGAUUUGGAUUGUGCCGUAGUCGGCUCAUCCUGAAAUGCAUUAGCUAGUGCCCUUUAGAGUGCUUGGCAUGGUGUGAUAAUUAUCUGCGCCGUCGCCUGAUGCCUCUUCUGUGGAGCGCUGCUUACAGCUGUCCUUCACGGACAAUGACAUAAAG
rnacentral:misc_RNA from 1 species